GACAGAGGAUGCAAGCGUUAUCCGGAAUGAUUGGGCGUAAAGCGUCUGUAGGUGACUUUUUAAGUCUGCCGUCAAAUCCCAGGGCUUAACCCUGGACAGGCGGUGGAAACUACCAAGCUGGAGUACGGUAGGGGCAGGGGGAAUUUCCGGUGGAGCGGUGAAAUGCGUAGAGAUCGGAAAGAACACCAACGGCGAAAGCACUCUGCUGGGCCGACACUGACACUGAGAGACGAAAGCUAGGGGAGCGAAUGGG
rnacentral:rRNA from 1 species